GAAUGAGGAAGAGGGAGCCAGACUCUUCUCAAUAGUGCCCACUGACAGGAUAAGAGGCAAUGGACGCAAAUUAAAACACAAGAAAUUCAUCUGAACAUAAGAAAACCCUUUUUUACUGUGAGGGUGUUCAAACACUGGAAGA